CCUUAAGAGCCUGUUCCGGAUGCCAAUGAGCCGGAACUCGCACACAAAACUAUAGAGUCGCUUUUCAGAAGGAAACAAUUCUAACGCCCGUAUUCUAAAAGCUCACUCACACUCACACUCAAUGAGUGAAGGUUGAAUCUGAGCUUCUAUCGAGUGUCAUUGCUGUUUUUGUAUAGCUGGAGAAUUAGUGUCGUACCUUACUAUGUGACUAUACUCACCCUCCAGCUAUUCAAAAACAGC